UGAGCCAUGGGCAUUUGGAGGAGGCCAUGUAGAUUUGUCACUACUGCCUUAAUACCCAGACCAUACUGCUAUACAUAUCUGGGACAUAGAGGUAACAUUAGUUGUCUUUAUUCUUUUUAAUUUACGUUUAUUUUAGUUGACAAAUUUGUGACACUGUUUUUUAUUUUUUUCAAGACUGUAAUCCACUGAAGUUUAUUAACCACAUGCGAAAGAUUAUUGGAUUGCCUUAUCCGAAUAAGGAAUGGUUU
rnacentral:lncRNA from 1 species